AAAAAGUUGAGUAACCGAUUACCCGAAUGGUGUAAUCGAUUACUCUAAUUCGUUUUUAAAAGAAUAGUGGACAAAGAGUUUGGGUAAUUGAUUAUCCACUAUCAAUAAUCGAAUACUGAGAGCUAUUGCAUGAGAUUUCAGAUUUCAAAAUGAAUUAUUUUCACUCCAAACGAAAUCUCUUCACUUCAAACAACUCCUACACUUUCAGAAAGGCACCAUGGGUGUUUGGAAAGUCUAUAUAAAGGCUCUAACUCUCAAAACAAAAACACACAACAAUACACAACUCUUAUAAAAUUUCCAAAAGCUCUUAAACUUAUU
rnacentral:lncRNA from 1 species